GACGAACGCUGGCGGCGUGCCUAAUACAUGCAAGUUGAGCGAUGAAGAUUGGUGCUUGCACCAAUUUGAAGAGCAGCGAACGGGUGAGUAACGCGUGGGGAAUCUGCCUUUGAGCGGGGGACAACAUUUGGAAACGAAUGCUAAUACCGCAUAACAACUUUAAACAUAAGUUUUAAGUUUGAAAGAUGCAAUUGCAUCACUCAAAGAUGAUCCCGCGUUGUAUUAGCUAGUUGGUGAGGUAAAGGCUCACCAAGGCGAUGAUACAUAGCCGACCUGAGAGGGUGAUCGGCCACAUUGGGACUGAGACACGGCCCAAACUCCUACGGGAGGCAGCAGUAGGGAAUCUUCGGCAAUGGACGAAAGUCUGACCGAGCAACGCCGCGUGAGUGAAGAAGGGUUUCGGAUCGUAAAACUCUGUUGGUAGAGAAGAACGUUGGUGAGAGUGGAAAGCUCAUAAAGUGACGGUAACUACCCAGAAAGGGACGGCUAACUACGUG
rnacentral:rRNA from 1 species